rnacentral:sRNA from 1 species
UAGGCCUAUGUCUAUUAGAAACUGACUGUAUUUAAUAGGUCGUGUCCAUUACCACUCUGUUAUUACGUCCUUGACUGCCCUUUGACUUCCCAUGUUCAAGCUGUUACUGUUCUUUAUUUGACGUGAGCUGGGUAUGUCUCCAGGGUAUUUGACCGAGAUCAAAACGGGUACAUCUCUUCAUCGGAGCUGCGUCAAGUCAUGACAAGUCUAGGAGAGAACUUGACGGAUGACGAAGUGAAUGAAAUGAUCAGAGAGGCAGAUGUAGACGGCGAUGGACAAGUGAACUAUGAAGAAUUUGUCAGAUUAAUGACUACAAAACAAAUGGGAGAUUCGAGAAAUUAAAAAUCAACGGUCUAUCUUUGUUAGAAAUAUGUUGAAACUUGUUAUACAAAUGUAAAAAUCUGGUCAAUUGUGGCACUAAAAAUAAAUAUUGCAAUGAUUUAUCAUCAAUAAAUACGUUUUUUCCGCCAA